AACAUACUUCACAAAGAAGAGUCUAGAACCCUAAGUGCAAUAUAAAUAAUUGCAAUUUCCUUGCAUACAAAAUUUUGCACUCCAUGGCUACAUUGUAACUCAUGUAUCCGCUCUGGUAAAAAUGAGAGACUUUCAAAAAAUUAUCUCGAUAUGAAGAACUUUCCUAGACACUUGAGACACCCAAUUGUCACAAGGCAAUUGAAUGAUAACUGAAAGCGGAACCAUCUUUCAGCAUGUGGGUUGAUGAUGCAACACAAAGAAGGCGGGAGAAAAAGAAAUACCGCGAAGAAAACUCCUCUACCUAAAAUAACAUGUGUUCUCGCAGUAUAAACUACAUCACGAAUCUAAUUCAAGCCGAGUUGAAAUAGUAGCUAUUGCACUAUCAUGAUCAGAUCACGUAAUCGAUAGUGGAAGACUCUCGCUGAAACACGGCCAACAAAGACCUCGAAAAAAAUAAUUUCAUCACAAAAACAAUAAACUACAAGUUAGAUUUCUCUUACUUAGGGACUUAUGUUUCCAAAAUAAACUUAACUCGGUGGCACCUUCCCGCGUAUGCGUAUUUGUCAAAAGUAACAAACGAAGCCUCUUCUGUGCAGCGCCACACUCGACCGACUAAUACUGAAAGGAUAUUAAAUGUAUUCUUAGAAGUUAGACAAGCUUUACUUACCAAAGACAACACCCAAAUAGACAAGGGCUACAAAAAGCCUCAACAUCUUCACCUUUUUUACUUUUUUCGGCUCUAAACAGGUCGUACCACGCCGCUACUUUCGAAAGAACCCUUUUCCCGGAAAGAAACGAGAUAAAGUGAAAGUCACAUGACGAACAUGAGACCUCCCAGAAUGCAGUGUAAUCGCUAGGUGGGGCGGUCACAAUUAUUUUAAGAUUUUUGAACUCUCAACUGCUAUUGGCUCACAUAUUCUAAUUCUGUAAAUCCAAGAUCUGAACGUAACUAAUACACCACCCACGUUCGGGGCAAACUUUUCCGUUACUUUAGUCGCAUGAUUUCCAAUGAUUCGUCAUGGGAAUCAUAUCGAAUGAAGGAGCUUCAUAACCUGCUUUGUUCCAGGCUUGACACUGUCAUUGUGAAAUUUUGGGAACGCCUUUAAUGAUGUGAUCAGAUCUCCAGGCUAGUCAUGCAAUCGACAUCAUGCCAUUUGACACGCCGUUGAACUUUCGACUCCGUACUAAAGCGUGACAGUGACGUGACGUACUAGGCACGGAAAUCCAUGGAUAUACAGAGAAAAAAGAAUGAAAGGGAGAUGCUAGAGUACAAACUGUAAAAAUUCUGAACAUUUUCAUUGACUUUUGACACUCUACCACAGAGGAUUACAGGAAGAUUUAUUCAAAAACAAUUACAACAAGUGCUUGUUAAAAACUUGUGUCACUUUAUGACACAUCUAUCAAAAAA